rnacentral:lncRNA from 1 species
UACACAGAGAAACCCUGUCUCGGGAAAAAAAAAAAAAAUCUAUCUCAGUCUGCAGAAAUGGCUCAGCGGUUAAGAGUGCUCGGUACCCUUCCAGAGGACCAAAGCUUGGUUCCUGGCACCCACAUAGACAGGUUGUGACCUGUCACUGAAGCUCCAGAGGCUCAGACAUCCUCUUCAGUCUGAGAGCACUUGCACUCACAUACACAGACUCCCACACAGGACAUACACAUAUACACAUAAUUAAAAGAAAGGCUUGCUGGGCACAUGCCUUUAAUCCCAACACUUCGGAGACAGAGGCAGGUGGAUUUCUGAGUUCAAGGCCAGCCUGGUCUACAGAGUGAAUUCCAGGAUAGCCAGGGCUACACAGAGAAACCCUGUCUUGAAAAAAAAAAAAAACAAAACAAAAAAACCCCAAAAAACAAAAAACAAAAAAAAAAACCAAACAAAAAAGUUUUUUUUUUUUUUUUUCUUUUAAAGAGUUAUCAGUUUUGCGUUGGCAUUAGCAGUGCAGAAGCAGUCUGCCCCUCCCACCAGCUCCCCUGCCUUGGAUCCCUGGAGCUGGAGUGGUGGUUGCGAGCCUCUCAGUGAGGAUGCUAGGAACCUGACUCCAGCCCUCCAGAAGAACAGCAAGUACAAGAACAGCAAGUACUCUGAACGGCCUGAUGGACCGUCUCUUCAGCCCCUUGUUUCUGUUUUCUUUUCUGAGAUUUAUAUACAUGCACCACAUACAUGCAGUGCCUGAGAAAGCCAGGAGAGGGCAUCGGAUGCCCUGGGGCUGGAAUUAAUAGUUGAGAUCUUCUGAGUUGAUCCUCGGGAACCUGUGUCCUGUGGAUAAGCAACAAGUGCCUUAAUAGAUGAGCCAUCUCUCCAGUCCUUGACUCUUUUCUUAAAAAAGACUCUCACUGUGUGGCUCUGGCUCCCUGCAGACUCAUGUAGACAACACUCAGCUAAAGGUCCUGCCUUCCUGUCCCCUACAAGCUGAGAUUACAUCUGUGUACCACCAUGCCGGGCUGUUCCAAUUUUUCCAGAAAAGUAGAAAGACGGUUUCACCUGCACUCUCGCAUUUGUAAGCAUUGCCAGCUAAUAUAAAGUAUGCUGUGAUUGACAAACCCAGGUAGAGUGGGGGUUGCAUGGUGCUAGAGGGAUGGAUACAGCUGAUACAGAAGCACUGUUUGGGGGCGCAGGGCCAAUUUUUGAGUGAUUAAAAAAAAGUUCUUCUAUUAAUUACAAGUGUGUGGCCAACCUUGGCUAUAUGGCUACACUGGUUAUAUACAAUUCUGACUCUACUAAAAACAUUGAAUUGUACUGUACCUUGAAUUAGUAAAUGAUAUAUGUGACACGUAAAUUUUAUCUCAAUAAGUUUUUUGUCUUUAAAAUAUUUUUGGAACCAAACCAAAGGCUUAGACCAAAAUGAACCAAUUAACAACCUCUGUCCUAGAACCCGUGGCCCCACCUCUCUCAGAAUCUAGUCUUUACUUGUUAGAUGGAAGACCAUGAGCCUUUUUCUCGGCACAUCACACAACCUGAAGUCCUUAAGAAUACAUUUUUCCGGGCUGGUGAGAUGGCUCAGUGGGUAAGAGCACCCAACUGCUCUUCCGUAGGUCCUGAGUUCAAAUCCCAGCAACCACAUGGUGGCUCACAACCAUCCUUAAUGAGAUCUGACUCCCUCUUCUGGAGUGUCUGAAGACAGCUACAGUGCACUUACAUAUAAUAAAAAUAAAAUAAAUUUAAAAAAAAGAAAUGUUUCCCCAAUAAUAACACACAC